UGGGAGGGGAGAGGCAGCAAGCA
rnacentral:miRNA from 1 species